UACGUAGGGACCGAGCGUUGUCCGGAAUCAUUGGGCGUAAAGAGCGUGUAGGCGGCCAACUAAGUCCUGCGUGAAAUCUCGGGGCUCAACCCCGAGCGGUCGUGGGAAACUGGUUGGCUAGAGUGCGGGAGAGGAGAAUGGAAUUCCCGGUGUAGCGGUGAAAUGCGCAGAUAUCGGGAGGAACACCGGUGGCGAAGGCGGUUCUCUGGGCCUUACCUGACGCUGAGGAGCGAAAGCGUGGGGAGCGAACAGG
rnacentral:rRNA from 1 species